CUCCACUUCACUUUUUAUUUUGUGGCUAGUGGUAACUUUCUAACUCAGUGUUUUCCCGUGGAGUUUCCACAGUUCAUCUCCUUUUCAGGGGUUGUAGGUGAGACCUGAAGUUUCUGAGGAUGGAGCCGGAGCUGUGGCAGAAGAAAGCUGGGGCCGAAUAGUCUCCGUGAAUGCAGGAGCGAGCACGAACGAGUAGACAGGAGGUGUGGUGGCAACAAGGAGGAGACGGUGAGCCGGGCGUGAGGCUCCGGCGCCAGAGCCUGCUCUCAUUACAGAAACAUAGACAACUGCGUUUCCAGAGAUCUUCCCACAGAGAGGCCUUUGGGUGCCCAGCCAAGUGGGACCCUUGAGCAAAGGAUUCAGGACAGCACAGGAACCUGUCUGUUGUCCUCAUUCCUGCUACCGCUGCCUGACAGAGCUGAGGAGCUUCUGAACUGGGCCAGGCUUUUGUGAGACCAUCCUGGGAGUCUGUUAAAGGAAGACUUCCCCCAAGAGAACGCUCUGGAGCUGCUGUGGUAGAAUGUGUCCUCCCAAAAUCGUGUGUUGGAGACUUAACCCUCCUAUACAACCGUGUGUGGGAGGGCUUAGGUCAUGAGGGCUGCACACUCGUGAAUGGAGUAAAGCGAACUAGAAAAUGGCAACUCAUGACAAGAGCCUAGGGUGAUUACUGAUGCCAUAAACAAGAGUGUCAAUUUGUUAAGUCAACAACAGGAGUCACUGUGCACUUACUCCUCAUGUAGGAUCUCUGUCCUUAAUGUGCUGUACAUUGUGAUUUAAUGCUAUAACUAGUACUCAAACAGUAUUUUUCACUUUGUGUUUCUGUGUGGGUGCAAACUGUUGAAAUCUUGCUAAACUGAUCUUCUG